GGCGGCGUGCUUAACACAUGCAAGUCGAGCGGAAAGGCCACUUCGGUGGUACUCGAGCGGCGAACGGGUGAGUAACACGUGAGUAAUCUGCCCCUGGCUUCGGGAUAGCCACCGGAAACGGUGAUUAAUACCGGAUAUGACAGACCCUCGCAUGGGGGUGUGUGGAAAGUUUUUCGGCCAGGGAUGUGCUCGCGGCCUAUCAGCUUGAUGGUGAGGUAAUGGCUCACCAUGGCUUCGACGGGUAGCCGGCCUGAGAGGGUGACCGGCCACACUGGGACUGAGACACGGCCCAGACUCCUACGGGAGGCAGCAGUGGGGAAUAUUGGACAAUGGGCGGAAGCCUGAUCCAGCAACGCCGCGUGAGGGAUGACGGCCUUCGGGUUGUAAACCUCUUUCAGUACCGACGAAGCGCAAGUGACGGUAGGUACAGAAGAAGCACCGGCCAACUACGUGCCAGCAGCCGCGGUAAUACGUAGGGUGCGAGCGUUGUCCGGAAUUAUUGGGCGUAAAGGGCUCGUAGGCGGUUUGUCGCGUCGGGAGUGAAAACGCCGUGCUUAACACGGCGCUUGCUUCCGAUACGGGCAGACUAGAGGUAUUCAGGGGAGAACGGAAUUCCUGGUGUAGCGGUGAAAUGCGCAGAUAUCAGG
rnacentral:rRNA from 1 species